UAGGAGCAAGUUAAUUAAGAAAGUUGGAACUUUUGGAAGGGUGUGGCAUGCUAUUCAUAAGCAGUCUGGGGAAAUUGUUGCAAUUAAGAAAAUGAAGAAGAAAUAUUACUCAUGGGAAGAGUGUGUGAAUCUGAGAGAAGUUAAGUCAUUGUAGAGAAUGAAUCAACCAAAUAUUGGGAAGCUUAAGGAAGUCAUCAGGGAAAAUGGCAUUUUAUUCUUUGUGUUUGAAUAUAUGGUAAGGGCCAGUUUUUAUUUGUGUUCUUAAUUAAUGGGGUUUUGCUG